rnacentral:rRNA from 1 species
GUCCACGCCCUAAACGAUGUCGACUGGUUGUUGGGGUUUGACACUCUCAGUAACGAAGCUAACGCGUGAAGUCGACCGCCUGGGGAGUACGGCCGCAAGGUUAAAACUCAAAGGAAUUGACGGGGACCCGCACAAGCGGUGGAUUAUGUGGAUUAAUUCGAUGCAACGCGAAAAACCUUACCUACCCUUGACAUGUCCUGGAGGCUCCAGAGAUGGGGCUGUGCCCGAAAGGGAACGGGAACACAGGUGCUGCAUGGCUGUCGU